rnacentral:rRNA from 1 species
UACGGGGGGGGCAAGCGUUGUUCGGAAUUACUGGGCGUAAAGGGCCAGUAGGCGGCCAACUAAGUCGGAUGUGAAAUCCCCAGGCUUAACCUGGGAACUGCAUCCGAUACUGGAUGGCUUGAAUUCGGGAGAGGGAUGCAGAAUUCCAGGUGUAGCGGUGAAAUGCGUAGAUAUCUGGAGGAAUACCGGUGGCGAAGGCGGCAUCCUGGACCGACAUUGACGCUGAGGCGCGAAAGCCAGGGGAGCAAACGGG